AAGUCGUAACAAGGUUUCCGUAGGUGAACCUGCGGAAGGAUCAUUAUGGAAUUAGUAUGUCGUGCACGCGGCUCUACGCUGCGCGUCACGCACUACUACCCUUUCUAUGUCUACCACAACUCACACACACCUUUGCCUUUGCGCACACAUGCCAUGAGCAAACUGUAUAAAGCUAAUACAACUUUUAACAAUGGAUCUCUUGGCUCUC
rnacentral:misc_RNA from 1 species